CUAUACCAAUCAUAAUUAUGUACACAAACUAGUUUAAAAUGCGAGUCUUGCAUUGCUUAGUGGCAUCAGUUGUUGAAGACUUGAAAAUGUGAGUCACGUUUACUUUUCCAAAGAGGCACUCAUGUCAAGCCGUGGAAAAUCAUCUAUUUCUUUUUUUCAAUCACACAAAUACAAAAAUUAAUGAAUAAUACUAAGUUGAUCUCUUAAAUUAGAAAUAUCAGUUAGCUUGUGGUUAAUAUUACAAAAAGUAUCAUUUUAAUGUUUAAAAGUUAAAAAGGUUAUAAACGUUGACCACCCUAAUAAUAUUGGUUUCCGUCAGCAACCACUGCAACCCAGAACAAAGAAAAAGUAAACAAAGCAAGAAAAAGGCGUUGCAGAUCGGAGUUUCAACUGCCAGAAUCGAAGCCGUGGUUGGUGGUGGAGCAGAUCUGAGUUUCCGAUAGAAGCUGUGGUCGGUGUUGGUGCAGAUCUGAGUUUCCACUCUCAAUCCUUUCGUGCCGGUGGCGGUGCAGAUCUGAGGGUCGCUUAUGGAGGAUUUGGAAGCGCCGCGAGUCUUCUCCACCGCCGACAGAACGAGAUGGCAAAUCGUAAUGCAUGUCUAACAUGUUUCAUUUCUGUGCGAUUUGGUUGCUUUUUCCUUUCUUUUUGAAUGUGCACUUGGCCAAUCCUAAUGCAUACUAUUGGCGAAAGAAACUAUUUGCUUUUAAUUUAUUUAUCUUAAUGAAUGGGCGUUGCUGAAUGCAUCUAAAGCCUGAAAUAUCAAAUUUCAACUUCAAUGAAUUUAUGUUCUUAUCUUUC